rnacentral:lncRNA from 1 species
GUCCAAAGACCAGGGCCCUCCCUGAAGCCCAGCACUUGAGAAAUGCUCGCUCUCACGUAUUAUGACUCUGGCUUUGGAAAGAAAUUCAGCAAGGGUACUGGUUGAAAGGUCAAAAAGUGGUGAAAUGCCAUCUGCCCAAACGGAAGCAAGGGGUCGCUUGGAUUGGAGAAGGGAAAGGGAGAAAACAAGAAUGCACUCAUGCUGUCGGCCUGGACUUGGAGAUUAUCAGUGUGGACUCAUGCAUUCCAAUACACAAAGAUGGAGAGAGAGGUACAGGUGUAAAAGUGUGUGUAAUAUUUUGAAUCUACUUUUGUGUGUUCUUAAUUUUUAUUAUUUCAUUCAUUUAUUUUUGAAACAGGGUCUUGCUCCGUUACCCAGACUGGAGUACGGUGGUGAGAUCAUAGCUCACUGCAGCCUCGACCUCCCGGGCUCAAGUGAUCCUCCCACCUCAGCCUCCUGAGUAGCUGAGACCACAGGUGCGCACCACCACGCCCAGCUAAUUUUUCUAUGUUUUUUAGAGACACGUUUACACCAUGUUGCCCAGGCUGGUCUCAAAUUCCUGGGCUCAAGCGAUCCUCCUGCCUCAGCCUCCCAAAGUGCUAGGAUUACAGGCAAGAGCCACUGCGCCCGGCCUUGUGUGUCUUUAAAUGUUUUUUGUUGUUGCUGUUUGUUUGUUUUUUGAGACAGAGUCUCCCACUGUCACCCAGGCUGGAGUGCAAUGGCAUGGUCUCGACUCACUGCAAACUCCGCCUCCCGGGUCAAGAGAUUCUCCUGCCUCAGCCUCCCAAGUAGCUGGGAUUACAGGUGCCCACCACCACGCCUGGAUAAUUUUUGUAUUUUUAGUAGAGAUGGGGUUUCACCAUGUUGACCAGCCUGGUCUCGAACUGCUGACCUCGUGACCCACCUGCCUUGGCCUCCGGAAGUGCUGGGAUUACAGGCGUGAGCCACUGUGCCCAGCCUUUAAAUGUUUUACAUGUACAUCCUUGUCAUCGUUUUCAUUUAAUUACUCUCCUCUAGUUUGUAAGGGCAGGGCCAUAGUGGGCCAGUCCCAAGGCCAUGGUGGGCCAGUCCCAGCCAUUCUUUCCCCUUCUCUCUACCCGAACACAAAUGUCUGCACAGAACACCAUCAUUCAGCCAUUGGGGAUUAAAAAUUAAGAUCGAGG